UUCAUUGGUUUUUAGAAGAGGUUUUUAUUUAUUUUUUGAAUGCUUCGUUUUAGUUGACCUUCUAUUUGCUUGACUUUCAGUUGUAGUUUUGUUUUGUUUUGUUUUUUUUUAAACUGUGGCCAAGCAUUCUGUAGUACUGUAAACUACAAUUAUUAGACUUUUAAAAUGAACCCGAAAGUUCACGUAGGAGAAAUCUGGAGGAUGUUUUGGCUAAAAUUAUAACGACCCAAAACACUACGAAAUAAACCCAACAAGUGUUUUUAUUUUAUUUUAUUUUUUAAUGUUAGACAAUGGCCAAGUCGAUGACCUAACAUGAACCUGAGCACAUCCCGUGCUGUUACGUUUCACGUCCCUUUUUGUGGUCUCUCCAGCCAAACAUGAAAAUUGUUUCCAUGUCACCAUAUUUCGACACCUGCCUAUAUUAGUGAACUAAUAUUUGGCGGAAAACUAUGACCAAACAUUGACUGAGUUGCAGUCUAAUUGUGACCUCUUGGUGUUGAUGCUUGUUUGUUUGUUUGUUUGGGGAUUUUGUCGAAAGCCUCGACGGAGUGUGACGGAAGUCAAGGAACAAGCAGUACGGCGGCCCGUGAGGCACAUAGGUGAUUGACUGUGGGAUAUUGGCGAGUCAUUAUGGCACAAUGCGGUUUUUUUGGGCUAACUCGGCUGCCGUGGGCGCCGGAAACAAAGCCCAAUAAUGACUUGUUUUGACGCUGUCUCGAAAAGUUUUGGCAUUCCAUUUAUUUGGAGCUUUUACUCUGCCGCGCAUGCGCAAAACACAACCGGUACUUCUUGAGACGAGUGGGAAAAACCCCCCAAAACAAACAUUAAAAAAUGUCGCUACGGUAACCCAGAGCUCACCCACUGCUUCGACAGCAGAUGCGCAUUAGUCAUAAUAUGAUCAACAUGCGGAAUGCAGGAAGUUUGAAGAGAAGUUAUGCAAGCUUUUGGGAUGGCUGAACUAUUACGAAGCGGGACCUUUACUUUGGAGCCGUCUUUGAUUCGCAUUGCGACUUCUUUUCAAGCAUGCACUUCAGAUACAGACUCGAAACUACAAUUCGUCCCCACGACAGAACAUACAAAAACGUGAACUUGGAAUCAAAGAGCUCGACGACGUUCCGGAGACACGAUGGACAAAAUAAGCACAGCGUUGGGCGACCGUGACUUUCACAGG